GGAAUAAUCAGUAUUGUUAAAAUGGCCACACUGCUCAAAGCAACCUACAGAUUCAACUGUAUUCCUAUCAAACUACCAACAUCAUUCUUCACACAAUUAAAAAAAAAUAUUCUAAAAUUCACAUGGAACCAAAAAAGCCAGAAUGGCCAAAGCAAUCCUAAGCAAAAACAACCUGACUUCACAGUACACUACAAGGCUACAGUAGCCAAAACAGCAUGGUAAUGAUAGAGAACAACAGACAGAUAAACCAAUGGAACAGAAAAGAGAACCCAGAAAUAAAGCCACAUACCUACAACUAUCUCAUCUUCAACUAAGGUGACAAAAACAAGCAACAGGGCAAGGAUUCCCUAUUCAAUAAAUGGUGCUGGGA
rnacentral:lncRNA from 1 species